CCAAAUAUUUCUAUUCAUUCUCUUUGCCUUGUAGCUCUUUGUAUAUUUGUGAAAUUAAAAUGGCCUUUUCACCAUCAGAUGUCUGAGUUCCUCAAGGUAAGUCACUUUCUCUGUCAACUUGAGUUGAAAAAGUAGCUUUAUGCUCUUGCUUACAUUACACAUUUCUAGCUAGUUUUUGUAUUAUUUAGAUCGACACCUAAAUAUCCCAGUCGAGGGAUUUGUAGUAUUGCAAUUAUUAAGAGUUCUACUAGCUAUUAUUGAAUUCAUUCACCGAUGGGACUUCUAAGUUUUGGUUAGAUCAAAAUCCAAUAUUUUUCUGGUCAGCUGCUUGUUAGAUAGAAUUUGUUUGGUUUGUGCUAAAGUUAUAUGCCAUGGGGGAAGAAUAGUGUAGUUUUUUGCUAGAUACAUAUGCCAUUCCUUAUCGAAGGUAUAAGGGCAUCCAAAAAGCUUAUUAAAAUUUUAAGCUAGCUCACUUAUUGCCUUUGUUUUUUCAAUUGUAUGCUUGGAUCCUUUCAAUUAGUGUUAGAGCAAGGUCAUAUGUUUGUAUUCCAAUAGAAGCAACAUGGUUGGUGGUGGACAAGGUGGAGGAUUGUUUUUGAGGAAUCAAAUGGACGAGUUAGGACCUGCCUCAUGGCAUUAGUAUGCUGUCAAAAUUGACCUGUGAGCACUUUUAUAUGUGCAUAAGGAAUUAAAGUUGCAACCUUUGGAUCAAUUUGUUGGCAAGUACUUGAUUUUAUCCCAAAGCGCGGAUCAUACCACUAGACCAAAUGCCCUCUUUGAUGUUGAUUGCAAUGCUUUUUUCUUCUGAUAAGGUAUUAAAGCUCAUGGAUAUAAUUUGAAGAAUGUUUGUUGCAUGGAUAUACUGGGUUGUUGUUGUUGUAAUGUUUGUUGCAUGAGUUUCAGGUAGAUGAUUUGCACUUACUUGUACUGUAUCUACCAAUCUUACUCACAAUUUUAGCAAAUCCUCUUGAUUUAUUCAUUCAUAUGAAGUAAAAAUGACAAAAAUAAACACGAGGAAAAUUGAACAAUGAUUAUCAUUAAUAAUAACCAACAUAGUAAUAAUGGAAAAUGAACCAGAUGGAAAACUCUGAAAGAUUGACCUUGAGCACUUCUGUUCUCGUACAUGUGUUCUGGAGAAUGUUGUGCAUUGAGCUUGUACUUCCUUGCAGUCAACCAGUUUGCAUUUGAAAGUUCUUUCCUGCUUCAGUAUUUUCUUGUGCAUAUGUAAGUAUUUGAAGUUUGGUGUUUCGUACAUCUUUAAGUGGUACAAAUGCUUAUGAGCAGCUGAAUUUGUCUUUACUGACAUGGUACUGUACUAAUCUGUUAUGAGGAUUUUCUUGUAUCAAUCCAAACUAAAAGGGUAUGUUUUCACCCUAAAAGAUUCUGUCCUCAACGAAUGUUACAGUGUGGAAGAGUCAAAACCAUACUUGUGGAUAACAUUCUUUACUUGAAACAUCAAACAUCAAACAGUUAUAGUUUGCUGGCUUUAUGAAUACUGCCACUUUGUACCCCUAGUAUUUUGUGAUUGUGUUGCUAUCUGCUCUGAAAGUUCUAGUCUCAUAACUAAUUUGGUUGAUUGAUUUGCAUAUGGGGACUUUGGAUGACAUCCAUUGCCAUUACUGGCUUACAGUCAUCAGCAUGGUUCUGGAAUUAAAAUGAGUUGAUGUACACUUUUGUGUAUCAUGCUAACAUUAGUACCAGAGUAUCUUCAGUGACUAACCCCGUUUCUUUAUAGUGUCUUAGAUAAACUUUGGAUCAGAUUUUUGAUACUAUCUACUCAAGUAGUCUUACUUAACCUCUUCAGUACCGUAAACCAUAUAUAAAAAGUGUACUCAAACAUUUAUGUGGCUUCUGUACCUUUAGAAGCAAUAAUGCAUCAUAGGAAGGCUACAACAUGUUUAAUAAGCCUUAGUCGAUCUCCAGAGGACAACACUUUUCUUUUCCAAUCUGAUUCUCUUUUUCAUUUUCUCUAGUAGAGGAAUUUUCUCUCUUUAUUCUCUUGAGGGAUAAGAAAUCCAGGUACUUGAUAGGAAAAUUACCAUUUUUAAUGAAUAGGGUAUUUAGUAGGAAUUCUUUAAGAUAAAUGGUGUCUUACCUUGUAUCUGCAUGUGCUGAAAUAAGGAAGAGUCAGAUUCUAAUAAUAAAUUAUCUACUAAAGAAAACAUUAAAAACUUGAUCUAGUCUACAUUUGAAUUGAAAAAAGAUGGGGCAUUCCGAGAAUUGAACUCGGGACCUCUCGCACCCAAAGCGAGAAUCAUACCACUAGACCAAAUGCCCAGUUGUUGAUUAUUGUCAUUUUUGGCUCAUGAUCAAUGUCUUUUCCUUAUUGUCUGGAAAAAUCAAUCAUAAAAGCUUUGCAUAGUUGCAAAUUUAGAAUCUUUAGACCUCUUAAUUCAGACCCGUUGAUAUUUUUAGUACUUCUGCUGUAUCCUAAUAUUACUGGAAAAAGACAAGUGCUUUAAUGCUUCUGCUUUGGCAACCUCUUUUCUGAUCUUCACUUUUCCUGACUUCUACAGAUGCUACAACCUUCUUUUGUACUGGUCCAAUUCUCUUUGAAAUCCUCUUUUACUAGAUUUAACCCAGUGGUUGUAUAUUAUCCAAGAACAUGGAAUUUGACUUAAAGUGAAGCUAGAUCUCUGGCGUAAAUCGGUUUGCUUCAUGUUCUAGCACCACUGUUUUGAGGUGAAUUCACAGCAUAAAUUGAGGCACCAAAUUUAGGAAUAACAUAUACUGAAGAAACAUGGCUUUCCUGCUAAUUUUGUUGCUCCCAGAUUCUUUUUGUUACUUAAAUAAUAUAGGAUGAUAUUCUUGUUUAUAUAUAACUACAUGUAUUCGAGCUUGUUCAUAUUGCGGGUCUCAUAGAACAUGCAUUUUGGCUGACUGUCUUGGUUGUCUUAUGAUCAGAAUGUGCACAGAACAGGAGAACAAAAAGAGUGGUGAAAGUCAAACAUUAAGUAUGGUUUACAAAAAUACACUAGAAAGAAGAAUCAGUUCUAGAAUUCUGCCUUGACUGUUUGGAUCAGCAAUAAGUAGUUAGCGCCUUCUUGUAUCAAUUUCCUUUUGUUAGUAUUUAAUACAGUAAAUAAAUUUUAUUGUCCAUGCAUGACGUAAAGGGAAUUCCGUUCAUCAUUGGAAUCCCAACAUCUUAAAUACUUGAUGAGCUUACUGCAGUUUUCAGAACAGGAAUCUCAAUGUUAAUUGUUCAGCAAAGUGUUAAAUGAAAAUCCUAUAUUUUUCCUUCUGAUCCUUUAUAACCCGCAGGAGUACAGGCUUGAAAAAGGGUAGUCAAAAUUUGGGGGCAUUCCGAGAAUCGAACUCGGGACCUCUCUCACCCAAAGCGAGAAUCAUACCACUAGACCAAAUGCCCGUUUGUUGACAAUUUCCAUCUUCGAGUUUUAGUCAAAUGUAACUUUCCCUUGUGAGUUAUUUGGUUGUGAAUGUCUUUGCUUAUCUGCAAUUUAGGCUUCAGAUACUCCAUAAUCCACACCAGUUGAUCUUCAUUUGCUUAUCAAGUAUUCUUUGGUACUUUUGCUGACUCCCAUUUAGAAAUGGGAGAUACUCAGAGGGAGUGCUUACAUAUGAUGUAUUUGCAGCUUCCUCUGAUUUGCGCUGCUCUCGAUCCCUAAAGAUGCUAUCAGCUUUAGUUGUUACUGGUGCUUGUCUAUGUAUCAUCCUUUUCUAUCAUACUCAACCUUUUUGAGCAUCUGGAAUAAAAAAGCCACGAAAUUUGUCUAGUGAUUGAGAACUGUCAUUGGACAUGAGACCAGGUCCUGGCAUUAGCUGUGUUAAUAUUGCAUGUUUGAGCAUCAUAGUAAGGAAAGCCUACUCAAGUAUCACAUUUAUAGUUAAACACGGACUUUCUGUUGGGUUCUGUUCUUACCAGUUCUCUUUUGGGCACCUUCUCUUUUAAGCUUGUGAGAAUGCACGGGGAAAAAUCUAUUAUUAACAAUGAUACAAUGAGCCCUAUAUAUAAUACAUAUUCUAUUCCUACUACAUAUGGGACUAUGACAUAUUCUACUCCUACUACAUAUAGGACUAGGAUAUAUUCUACCCCUACUAAAUAUGGAAUUAGGACUAUUUACACAUAAUUAUCUAACACUCCCCGUGAGCAACAAAACCAGGUGGUUGCUGAUAAAUAGAAGUUGACCGAAAAGUCGCCAGAAAAAUUUGAUAAUAGUGAGACUAGCAGAAUUCCACACUACAGAAUAGGUUCUAAAACACCGCCAGAAAACAAAAACUUUCCGAGAAAUCACUAUUCACGCGGAAGAUCACUGUUCACCCCGGAAAAAGUGCACUGCUCACGCUGAAAAAAAUAAAAGUUGUCAGAAUUUGAUGUAAUUUAUAUGGGUAGGCUCGGAAUCACUGGACGAGUAAGCUGUCCUGGAGAAGUUUUGUCAAAAAGUGGCAGGAAUGGCUCACUCGCGCCGAAAAUUCACUGUCAGCGGCGCGUGAGGGCGCGUGACAGGUAUUCUGACGGAGAUUUUUUUCGGGGUUGGUCACCGGAGGGUGAUCUACCUCGUGGUGGUGUUGGUUUUUGCACAACACCGACAAAAAGGAACUUUUAAAUUGGACAGACCUGCAGGCACCGGAAAAUUUUCUGGUUAACUGAUUUCUUCUUCUCGGAGUCGCUGGUAUUUUUGCACAGGGAUGAAUCUCUCACGUUAGCUCUCAUACCCUCUGAGAAAGCACGGGAGAAAAAUGUAUUAUUGAUAUUAAUUGUAAUACAAUUAACCCUAUUUAUAAGUACACAUAGUAUAUAACCUACUUCUAUUACAUAUGCGACUAAGACUAUUUGCACAUAACUAUCUAACAAAGCUAUAUCGUUUUCACUUGUCUUCAUGAAAUUGUGCAGCUCACUCUAUGUAAAUUGGUACAGAACAACACGGUACAAUGAUGUUCAUGCAUUGUUGGUUUUCUAAUGGAAAUGAAAAUUGCUCAUGAACUAUGGGUAUACAUUCAGCCCUCAUUUUGAUGUGAAAUUCUGCGAGCUUUUGCCUGAAUUUCUGAAAGAACUUUCAGCCAUUGAUGAUCAAUGAUUUCAGUUGUUACUGUUGAUUUCCUUGACCCAUAUAUGGCUUUGUUUUUCUUUCUUUGAGAAGUAAAUGACCUUGUUAUAGACUAAACAUUAUGAAUCUCUGAUGUAGACAAACCCAUGUACUAACUUAACUUUUAAGUUUUGCCUUCUCAGUCAGAUUGAAAACAGAUGGUAAAACUGGAACGCAUGUGUGAAAUGAUGGCUCAAGAUAGUUGAGAUACUUGAGCUUACCCUUCAGUAUUUAUAUUCAGGAUCUGUUCGGAGAUUGACAUGAACUUUGGAGGUUUAGAUCUGCUUAUCAGAAACUGAACAGCUCAUUAUAUGUAAAUUGGGCGCAACUCAACAUGGUACAAUGAUAUUCAUGAUUCUUUGUUUCACUAUAUUGAAAUGGAUAUGAUUCAGUAACAACGGGUAUCUGCGUUACUCCUUAUUUCGACGUGAAAGCUUUUGCCUCAAUUUUUGCAACACCUCCAUGUCAUUGAUUAAUGAUUUCAGUUGUUCUGGACAAAAUUUUAUGAAUCUUUGAUGUAAGUUGUAACGACAAAUGCAUGUGCUAACUUUUAAGUUUUGCCUGCUUUAUCAAAUUGAAAAGAGAUGGCAAAAACGCAUGUCUGAAAUGAUGGCUUACUAUGGUUGAGAUACUCGAGCUUAUCUGUUCGACAUUUUAUAUUUAGGGAUCUCUUGGGAGUUGGACACUGAACUUUGGAGUUUCAGAUCUGCUUUUCGGUAAACUGAACAGGCAAGGUCAACUCUGCGCUAUUGCAAAUAUUCAUGUUGUAUUAAUUUUUUGUAUAUAGAUCUAGAUCUUCCUUAUUUAGCUUCAUGUGACCCAUCCAAUUGGGUGGUCCAUUAACGUGAAUGGAAAGAAUCUUUACCUGCAAUUUUUUUGUGUGAAGAAAAUUUGGCUGAGUGUCUUAGUUGACUUGGGAUAAGCUUACCAAAAGGGAAACAAUAAAGAGCUCUUACACAAAGCAUUAGGUAAGAUUUGGGACAGGCAUAUAUUGACAAAGCAAAGUUAGGUCUGGAUUGUAGAAAUGCCUAUUUGUUGAUAAUUAAUAAACCAAAAAAAUACUAUUGAUUCCCCUAUCGCAUUAAAUACUCAGCAUGUGACCAAGUGUGAAUUCUAUUGUUUGAAUCUUAGUAACAUGAAUGGCUGAUGAACUUGCUGCAAUUUUCAUAACAUCAAUCUCAAUGCUGACUGUUUAAGAAAAUACUGAAAUACUUUAGAUGGCGGAGGUUCUGGCCAACUCUUCUCAAAGUUGGUAGGGACAUUCCGUAACCUGGGAACUUUGCACCCAUGAACUAUACAACUAGACUAAUUGGCCAGUAGCUUAUGUUCCUUGAAGAUAAUCUUGCAAUACAGUUCACACUACGUCUUCUAAGAUGAAAAAGUUAGGUUAUGUGCUAGUUUUUCUGCUUCUAUUGUUAACAAGGUGGUGGGUAAAUUAUAGCGUUUGCAUGAUAAGUUGAGACUAUAGAGAGAAACUAAGUGUAUUUCUUAGAAGAUCUCUAGCCAAUUGGACUGGGUCAGCCACUUAUGACCUGCUUAAUUUGAAUAUAUCAAUUAGAAGAUAGAGCGAAGGAGCAGAGCAGCUAAAAUGAAGUAAAAUGGUUACAUUAGCAGGGGCAUUCCGAGAAUCGAACUCGGGACCUCUCGCACCCAAAGCGAGAAUCAUACCACUAGACCAAAUGCCCAGCUUUUGCUGGUUCAUUGGUCUAAAUAAUAGCUGGAAGUUUCAUGUCAGUUGCCUGGAGCUUAUACCAUUAAAUGAUAUUAAGAGGGAUGAGCAUUUUCCAGUGUCUGGGGGCUCCUCCAUUGUUAAAAUAAUGUAUAUAGAGAGGCAUAUUAAUUUACUAUGCUAUUAAAGGUGUUUUAAUUGUACAGUGUGGAAGUUGUCCGUAUCUGGUUGUAAUAUCUGAACAUACUCGACUAUAGGGUCAGUUAGAGAUGAAGGAGCACUUGGAGAGUUAAAUCAACUAAAGUAAAUAAAACUUCAGUAAAAUCAAGGGGCAUUCCGAGAAUCGAACUCGGGACCUCUCGCACCCAAAGCGAGAAUCAUACCACUAGACCAAAUGCCCAUUUGUAAACAUUGUCAUCUUUGAAUUUUAGUCACAAUGUUUUUCCCAUUCUGACUUAUUUGAUCAUAAAUGUCAUUGCUCAUCUGCAAUGUAGAAUUCAGGUACUCCUUAUUUCACACCAGUUGAUCUUCAUUUCCUUGAUUAAAUGUUCUCUGGUACUUUUGCCGUCUCCCAUUUGGAUAUGAGAUAUAAAGAGGGGUUACCUUCUUUAUUAAGCUAUAUCAUUAUUACUUUUUUGUGAAAUGGCGCGCUCAUGUAAAUUUGCUGUAGACCAAACAAUAUGAAUCCUUGAUGUAACUAAAACCCGUAUACUAACUUCUCUUUUAUGUUUUGCCUGGAUUGUCAAAUUGAAAACAGCUUGCAGAAAAAGCAUAUCUGAAAUGAUGGCAUACAGAUACUUGACGUUAUGUGUUCGACUAUUUAUAUUUAGAGAUCUGUUGGGAGUUUGAAUUGAAGUUUGGAGUUUCAGAUCUGCUUUUAGGUAAAAUGAACAGGUAAGCCCAUGCCAUUUGGUUAUCCAUUAACAUGAAUUGAGAGAAUCGUUACCUGCUAAUUUUGUUGUAUGAAGACA